AAGUAGUUAAGAACAAAAGCUCGAGCAUACAGCGGAAGGCAUACGCAUUUGGGCAAACAAAGGAAGCAUUCUUCGCUGGCACAAGAAUAGCAAACAAGUGGCAAAGCCCAUCAAACUAUUCAUUUAAAGGAUCAUAUAGCGUAAAGCAUCCUUGGAAGCCGAUCCUGUCCCGUUGACGUCAAUCACUAUAUGAAAUCAAUACGGAAAGCCAUCAGAUACAUGUCAAGUCUCUUUUUUUAGAUCGCUUGUCAGGUAGCGUGAAACCACUUUGGGUCACUACUCACAGAAAUAAGGAACCCUGCUCGGAGUUGGAAACAAGUCCUUGGUUCUAUUUUGCUGUAAGGAAACAACAAUUCCAUAACUUCCACUGUUAAGCGAAGGUCUCCCCGAAACCUUUUCUUUGCGUGAAACCCGAAUCUUUGUCUUGUCCUCAAAUGAAUUGCUGUACAGUUUUUGUUCUCCAACGUUAUUCCUCUAGGGCCUGAAAUUGUUCUCUUCUUGUUUGACAAAAAGAUAAGGGUUCGACAGACCAGUAUCUUAUACAGCAAUAGUCGUCGAUUCAUGCUCAAGCCCGGAAAGCGCUAAACGUUGCUCAACUGCCCACUCUAGUUGGCUAUUCAGAACAUGAGAUGAAAUCGAGUCUUCUAAUUCCUGCUUUGUUUGCCUAUCGUAUAGUUGUUUGAUAUGAAAAUUCUAGUUCUGAGGUGAGGUGAUAAGGCUGGACUUUAGGGAGGAGUUUGGUGGGCUCUAUUCCCCUGGAGGAUACCAUAGCUGUCAUUAGUUGCACCAUCAUCUUCAUUUGUCCUUUGAUCUGCUCUAACUCCCUCAUCAUAUGUGUCAACUCGGACCGGUCGGUUGAUGUUGCUUCUUCGGAACCUGCUCUUCUUCCUCGGGGAGGAGUCGAGCUAGGGUAGCUGUAAUCUACUUCCUCUUCCUUUCUUUCUUUUAGCAUCUGUUGGCUGGACUUCUUCUGAAGAUUCAUCCCUUCAUAAAGAUGAUUGUCCACGUGAGGAAGAGAGUACAAAGAAAGCUAAAAAGACAACAAAUAAAUCGGAUAAGAAGAAAAGUGGUACUACUAAAUCAGAACAGUAUAAGCAAGAAGUCUUCGAUAUUUUGCAUGAUACUAAAAAAAGGUUACCAUUAUCAGAAGAUGAAUUAAAAAAGAUCCAAAUCAAGAUUGAGGACCAUACUAUGUUGUUCAAUGAGGAAUCUGUGUUUAAGACAGUACCCAACAGAAUUAAAAUAUUAAUAAAGCAUGAUAGUACUCAAUACCCUAGUUCUCGCCCAAGAGAGAGUAUCUGACUUGUUUUCCUCAGUUUCAGUUGAGGAUCCCUAGUUAUCGAAGGGAUAGUAGCUCGUAUUCUAGAGUGAAGCCCCCUUCAAGUAGUAGCCCAAAGUGAAGGAGAUGUCUAGGAGAAGGCUUUGUCUCUAGUGAAUUCCCGUAGUGCGUGUCUGCCCAGAUGUGAGUGACCUACCUCAGUCGAGAGAGAGAUACCGCUAUAGAGACAGAAAGAGAAAUCUAGCUACUCGCCGAUAGAAAGCGAUAGAUUGUUCACUGCCCCUAGUGGAUGGAGAAGAUACAGAUACCAACGGGAUGGGAUAGUUGCCCCUCCUCUCCAAUAGAGGUUUAGACUGCUCAAUGACUUCUCUUUCUAUGUAGUAACAAAGGUUCAUUGCCCGGAAGAGAAAGGGGCGGGUUCAUGGAUAGGGUUAGGCCUGGGUGCCUACGCCCCGGGUAAAGGGAUGAAGUGGGUAAUUUAGGGAUAGGGUUGGCGAAGGCUGAGACUUUGUUUGAACCAGAAUAGAAAGAGAGCUAUAGAAGUGGAACCGCCUAUAGAAGUUGAAUACUGCCAAUCUCUGGCAGGCAGAGAUAGUUGUCCAAUCUAUGGAUAGCACUAUCUAGACGGAUAGAUUCAUCUACCAGCUGGCCCUAGUGAGAGUGUCAGGAACAAAAUCGCCUAUGUCUGGCCCGGGGAGUAGACCAUACGGGUAGAGUAAGCUGUAUAAUUGUUUACUAGAUGGAAGGGGAUGGGCGCCACUAUCUAAUAGUUUCUCUCUUAUCUAAUAGCCAUUGGAAAUGAAGUAGCAGGGGCGCCGACAAGGAGUAAUAACUAAACUACCACCCGGAGCACCUGAUGAGACUAGUAGCUAGGGGAAAGAUUGGAGGGACGAAGCAGACACAACAGCUCUAAACUACCCGGAUUGGUAAUAGACUCCCUGGUCAUCUUUAUUGAGAUGGGGGGAUGGAGGAACCAGAAAGAAAGCUUAAAGGCUAAUGAGAAAGAUGUCGAUUAGGAGCUAGAAGCUAUCAAUAGAAUGAAUGAUAGUAGGAGUGAGUCUUCAUAUUCGAGGGGAAUAAGGGAAAGCAAGUUACAACCCUUUAAUCGAUUAAAAUAGUGAUCCCAUCCGCGGAUAAGAAUCGCGCUUUACGAGCUGAAAACCAUGUCUUUUAGAAAAUCUUUCGUGGUUAGGCUCGAUGGAAUGGAGGGUCAAACAAGAUCAUGAGCUCUGACUUUGCUUUUUGCUGGUGAUAGUGAUGGUGCGGGGUCGGGGGAUGGAUACUAGUACUGGGACUGAUUCCGAUGCAAGGAAUGCUCCUACCCGCGCAGUCUCCUCGUCCAUACCCAAGCCGAAAACAGAUGAAAAACAAGUCAACAAUAUAUUGUGUAAAUUAUUCAAGGUCAUGCAGAGUGGACUACCUAUAAAAAUNNNNNNNNNNNNNNNNNNNNNNNNNNNNNNNNNNNNNNNNNNNNNNNNNNNNNNNNNNNNNNNNNNNNNNNNNNNNNNNNNNNNNNNNNNNNNNNNNNNNCACGACUCCACCACUUCUUUGGAAGUUCCAAUUCAAACCAGUGCUUAUAACCUAUGACCUUCUUUGUUAUGUAGAUGGUUCUUUCCCUUGUCACCCUCAAUUCCAAGCCGAUGAUAUUGGGAAUACUGUGGUGAAGUCCGAGGAGCUUCUUCGUCUACUUCCUUAUCCUCCGCUCUGAAAUCUCCAUCAAAACAAAUUCAUCUGUUAUACAAUACGUGUCCAACAGUGCAUUCUCCAACUGUUGCAUGCAUUGGAACUACAACGAUUUCACCAACUGGUAGCACCAUUUCCAUUUCAGCUUUUAUGCCACACAAUCUUGGAACUAAUCGGCAAAUAAAUCUUAGAUACUGAUCCUCCGCGUCAACAAACAGCCAUUCCUUCGCAAAGUGCUUACUAUCUAGAAUAGCCUGAGUAGCCAAUUCCACCAGAUGUGAUCCUCUGUAAUCCAACAGAACAUUGUUAUAUAGAUCAACCAAAUCAUUGUAAACAUCAAGACCUGGCACCAGAGAUGAUACUGUAAGAAGCUUUCGAGGUGCUUCUUUUUGCGGCUUAGAAACGUUAGCCUCAUUACCAACCUCACGGAUGGAAUAUUCAAAAAUUCGAGUGACUGGGUCACUGUGCAACGCACAACGUGAUUUCCUACAAUCACAUUGUUCAUUGCUUUUAGAACAUAAUCCAACAGACCUGUAUCACCUAUAUGAAGCCGAGCUGCAUCUCACAAAUCUUGUCGUGUCAUGCCGCCAUGUGCUUGAUUCUCUUUCAAUGCGUCCACAAUGACUUCUGCUAUAAAUUCCAGUCUUCUUAUAGGCCAUCUACUAUCCAUACACGCAACUACAGUAGAGAACCUCCUAUAAGCUGUUGACUUCUCUUUUCUCAAAGGCUUGCUCUGGGUGGAGAGUCUGCUAGGGGGUCUCGUGAUGGAAGAUGGAGGAGCUGAAGUAGCUUUGUUAAUUUGCAUAGGAGCACGAUAUUUUAUAGUUAGAAUAAACCUGAGUAGAUCUUUGAUUGUAACUAGCUGGGUUUCACUCAUGUCUCUGUAAUGACGAAUUAUCUGCUUGAUUUCUCUGCCACAUAGGUACUUUGAACCACCUUCAAUGCCAUUGAUGCAGACCAAAUGACCAAACCCGUUACAGUGAAUCAGGCCAUGCAACAGAUGGGUCUGAAGUUGUAUAACAUCAUCAUCCAGAGGCUUAUUCCACUCAUCAUCCGUAGGGAUUAUCAAAUGAGACUUCCGUUUAGACAGAAAAUGAUUGCUCCAACGUCAACAACGAAAAAACCAAGUCCCAUCCUCUUUAAGGAGCUUAGCCCUCUUCUUAUCCUAAACCCCCCGUCAAUUAGAGGAAAGCUAGAAGCCUCACUCAAUAAGGCUGCUGUCGGGCUUGCCAUCCUCGUUCAAUCCCUCUCUCGCUCACUCAGUUGGUUAGAGUAAAGCACUGGGACUGGAGAAACAGAAGUCAAUAUUUCUGGCGUGAAAUAUUCUUCCUAUCCGGAGGAAGCACAAUAGAAUCUUUGGGUCGUGGGCGAGGUGUAAAAGGUCCACCCGUGAAGAAGUGGGUGGAUCAGCAACUGGUCCAUUCCAAGAUGUCAGUAAUGCCUUACCAGAAUUGAGAAUUGAGGAGUCAUCCCUUGCUUCAAGAAAUUCAUUAACGGCUCCUACUUCAUUUACUCAAGCUGCGGAUUCUAUUCCUCAAGUGCCACAACUUUAUUGUAUACAAGAAGUUCCUUCCGUCGCCUUCCCCUUCUUGCAUUGAGUCAGAAUAUCCCUCUUUCGUACAUGAGUAGACUGCUCGUUACGCCCUUGUAUAGGUUGGGCUACUUUUGAACUUGUCAAUGCGACGUGGUAAAUGUGAGUUUAAAACAGAUUGGGUAGUUCCGGGAGAGAAUUCCACUAUUAAUGAUUCCUAUGCUAAUCCUAUUGAAGAAAAGCUUGAUUCGGUACUUGUAGCUGGGCUUACUCGAUAGAGUUUUUCCCUUACUAGUAAAGGGGCUGGAGACAUAGCUUACCGACCCCCCUAUUAGUAAAGGAGAGGGGGAGCCUUACUUACUCAAUAGGGGCAAUAGCUGAUUGGAAUGGUGAUAGGAUAGAUCGGGAUUACUAGCAUUAGCCUGAAACAAACGAAGAACUGCUUAAAUAACAUCUAACAAUCUUGCUUUAGCUCCCGACGAGUUCUAGUUCUCUCGGGGGGACGCUAAGGUCAAUGAAUGUGACAUAAUAUGGACAGAUUAACGUCAUGAGGAGACAGGACUUGAACCUGCGUGACUCAUGUUAUGAGCCUUGCGAGCUAACCAAACUGCUCUACUCCGCGUCUCUGCGUGACUCAUGUUAUGAGCCUUGCGAGCUAAUCAAUCUCCUGCUUUCAUUCCGUUUGGAAUCAACAUGCGCUCUGAGAGCGGAUCUAGGAAUACCCUGGCAAACCGAUACUUAAAGCAGAGACAUCGCCUGGGGUUGUUGACUGCUAAUGGGCUUCAUGACUAUGUUCGUAAAUCGGGAAAAAAGGAAUGAAUAGUCGCUCAGCUCUUGCAUUUCCUUCUCUCUCUAUAUACGACAUUUAUGGAUUCCACUUGUCUACCUGUCGUGAUCGAUUCUCGUAUAUAAGGGGAAUAUAUACUCUAUCUAGCGGAUUGAUCAAUGAAUUAAAUACCCAGGUAAGAUAGAAGAAUAGAACAACAAAAGAUCUGAUACCUUCACAAAACAAAGGAAGAAAGGAAGUUUUUUCUUUCUCAGUGCCGUUGGGAGAAAGUUUAGUCCAUUGGGGCUCUGAAAAAGAUCUUAGUGAUAAUCCCAUCCAUCGUGAUCGACGACCAACCUUCUCUCAUUUAGGAGGGGUUUUCAGAUGUAGUCUUUCAAAAUCCAUAGGAUGAAGUGAAGCUUCAGAGCUAAGAGAGAAGGGGGGAAGCAAGCAACCUCGAACCGCGUAAUGAAGCAAAGUGUUUUAGGGUUGAAGCCAGUAAUCUAUGUAGCUUAGAAUGGGUAGGUCUCUAAGAGCACUGAAAAGUCCAACUCUAAGUGUAAGGCGUUCCAACAUUUGUUACCUAAUAGAAAUUCCAAGGCAAAAGCAAGAGUUGGGGCGGUGGCAUAACCAGGAAAUGGUUGAGUUCUUUUGUAGUACCUCCAACCAACUGGCUCCAAUCAUUUUCCCUUUUUUUUAAUUUGAUCACGCGGUAUGUCACGACCCAUCUUUCUCUUCCCUUCACGUAAUUCUUCAUUCUGAAGCAAAUAAGACUUCUGGAGAGAGGGGCACCCGUGGGCAGACAACCGAUCCUAUAAAAAGUAUAAGGAGGGGGGUUAACACAUAUGGCUGGUUCCCUUUGUAAAUCUGUAAACUUUAAUAGGAAAAUCCAUAGCAUAGUGAGUAGAUCCACAUCCAGAGUAGUGAUCAAACAAUUAUCACAAUCGAGAUUAGCAAGUAGGAAUGGAUAGCUGUGUUUGCAACCAAUUAGAACUAGAGAGCGUGAAGGAAACCAACCCUAUUGCAUAUUGUAAUGUGAUUUUGCGCCUCACUUGACGCUAGACGAUCUAUCCAUAUAGCCAGAAAGAUGCCUAUCAGGAUCCAAGGCUAGAUCUAGAGGAAGGCACUCGAGGUAGCAAUUAUGGAGAAUAGAGCCAAACUGCUAGUAAACAAGGGAUUAAUUAUGGGCAAGUUGAUAGCAUUCCUCGCGAAACAGAAGGAAAACAGCUAAAGAUGUGCAUACCCCUCUUUAAGUAAUUUUUGCAUAUAAUGAGUAGUCUUUGUUUGAUUUAUCCACUCCACAACUCAGGGGCAAGGUUGAUUUAUCUAUAUCUAUUCAAUAAAUGUCGGCUUUAGCCAAAAAAAUACUUUGCUAGCCCUUUAGGGGUCUGGGUGGCACUCCUCAUGGCUAUAGUUACUAAUCCGAGGCACUGGCUUCAGAAGCAAGUUCAACCGGCUUACAAACCUUAAAAUCACAGCCUUUUCAUAGAAUUUGAUCAAAGAGUGGUGGGUUCAAAAAAGAGUCCCCCUGACGUUGCUACUUCCUUUAAUCAAGUGUUUGGAAUGGUUCUAGGUGUCACAUUCUCCAAAAGGGCAGGACUACUAUAAAAAUAUGAAUAAGGGGUCAGAUAUCUUACUAGCUCUUAGAUAUCCUCCGGAACUUCCCACUUUCUAGUCUCAAUCUCCUCAAUAACUUGACAUGGAAGCUAGCAAGCAAGGACUGACCAAGGGAAAGAGCUGGCGUCUUGUUUAAAGACCGUGUAAGGGCCCGAGGGAGGAAGAACGAAGCGAGGAUAGAGAUUGCCCUAUAGACCAUCAAUGGGCGACAACCCGCUUUUUGAAGCCUGGGAUUAGUUCAACAGAAAGGGAGCUCGGGACAAGAGAAGGAAAGUUAUGGGAAGCGAGAGCUUGCUUGACCGGUAGUAAGGGAGAGUCAUAUUAGUAGUCAGCGUAGUAGCUAGUUUUAGUUAGUUAGUAGCAUUGGAGGUAGAGUUCGCAAGGCUCUUGUAUCAAUUCCGGUUCUGGACCGCUCCAAGUAGAGUAAGAAUCCGGAUGUGAGUGAUUGCGUUAAGUAGUAUAGUAAUAUACUAUAGUAAUAGUAAAAAACUAAGAAUUCUACGGAACCUUCUUUUCGGUAUCUGCUUUUCCUGCCUGGCGUCAGUAAGAAAAUCCUUUCCCAAUCCUGUAUCGAAGUCAGUCCCCCCACGGGGUUUUGUUUGUCCAAGUCACUAAGCAGUCUCCUUUUUUUUAGUGUGCUUCCAGCUUCCCAAGGUAGUGCCCGGUCGACUACCCCAUUUCUUCUAUGGAGAGAUGUCCCUUUUGCUUCUUUCUCCUGCAGCUAGUGCUAAACUAAAGGCGGGGUCGGUUUUGUUAUGCUAGACCUAGCUUCUGCUUUCCUGUACUGGAAGUUGAGAUAACGGGUCCCCAACUUCAGGGUUCUAGGAGUCAAGUAUAUGUUAGGACCUCCUUCCAGGUAUCUCCCUAAGUGAAGUCUUCCCUCUGGAUCUAGUUUGUUCUAGGGGAGAAGGUUUUUAUCCCUCUCCUUGUCAGUCGAGCUACUCCAUCCCUCUGAGUUUCAUAAUUCGGAUAUGAGCUCCCCAAGGUUUUUAUUACUAAAGGAAGUACUGGGCUAAGGCUAAGGGCGGACCCCUCCUUCUAUCUUCUAUCUAGGUAUCCCGGUCUGGAGUGAGCUCGCUACCAACUAAGCUAUUUCGUUACAGACUUAGUUUUGUACCCUAAUAGGGUUGUGUUCAUCCUACGUACUAUUAGCUAUAGUCAUUCAUUGGUUCAUUUCCUUUGUAGGAAUGCCCCUCUUGCAUAAGAACUCCACCAAUGGCAUAGUCCGAAGCAUCGGUAUGUACCUCGAACGGCUUAGCAUGAUUCGGUAAGGCCAGCACCGGAUCAGCUAUGAUGGCUCCCUUUAAGUCCUCAAAGGCCUCUUGACAUUCUCUCGUCCAAUGUCAUGGUUGGUUCUUCUUAAGGAGAUUAGUCAAAGGUGCAGCCCGACCUGAAAAGCCUUGGAUGAACCUACGAUAGUAGUUUACCAGGCCAAGAAAAGAUCUUAACUCAUAUACCUUUGAUGGGGGAUCCCAUUCCUCUAUGGCCUUCACUUUCUCAUUGUCCAUGCAAAUGGUCCCUCCCUUGAUCCGAUGUCCAAGGAACAAGACUCUUCUGUUCCGGGCGCAGCGGCCAGGCCAUUUGCUAAAUCUUCGCUUAUGGGAAUACCGUACGCCAACGGUAAUUACAAUUCAGAUGGAAAACCAUAGCGAAAGCCCGAAUUACUUCCUUCAAACAAAGCCGGUGCACCGUCCAGGUUCGGAUCAAUACUUAUAAUUAACCAACCCUAGUUUCGACAUCAAGAUCAAGAGAGUUACCUCGCCAGAAUUAAUCUUGGCUGAAUAAUCUCUUUGAACAAAAAGAAGACCAAGGCUGGGAACUUCUCCUAUGAAAACGGAUGGCGAAACUAAGGAUUCAUAGCAUGUCUUCGACCUCCCCUCUGAAAAAGCUUUCUCAAAGAAGAGAAGCGCUUUGCCUUUCCCAAUAGCUUUCAGUUCCAGCAUGAUAGCCGGUGUGAUCAAAGAAAGAGAUCAAUCUUUUUUUAUAUAAUAAUAGAUCCGCGAUCGGUCUCAACUGAAAGAGUCUCACAUGCAUCUCUUUAUGAACUAUUCUUCCUAGCCAAGACAACCUCUGGUCCGCUCAUUAGUUCAUACGGUUCGCAUCUUCCCUUUUCCGCGGAGUAGAGCAAUUGGUUAGCUCGUAAGGCUCAUAACCAUAAGGUUACAGGUUCAAAUCCUGUCUCCGCAACAUUAAUCUAUUCAUAUUGUGUCACAUUCAUCAACCCUUGUAUCAUCAGCUGUCUCGUAUGAUCGAGCCAUAUUCCAGAGGGAAAUCAAAUGAAGCGGUGCCUAUCCACGAUCUAACGCGUGGGAAUAGAUGCCGAAGGGAUCCAUACUUGCUCACAACGAACUGAACAAAGGAAAGGGACGUAGUUGGAGAUGUCUACAGGAGUAAUCAUAGGUUUGGUAUGUACCAGCUUAUAAGAGGGCGUCCGGGGACCAGCAAAGAUGUUCUUCCUGCGGUUGAUCUACGGCCUGGCGCGCCAUACACUGAUUGGUUGCUGAACGGUUUGCAUCCCUGACCCCCGGUCUGCUCACCUCGGCGUGCCAAUACUGCGUCCCGAUCUCUAACUCGAUAGUUACAGAAUUCCGAUCAAAUAAAUCCCUGAACCUACGAGCUUAACGCAUGUAUUACAAGGAGCACAAUACACUUACAGUCCUUCUACCCGAAAUGGACACUAUGCGAAUGAUAAGAGAGAUGGCCCAUAUGAUGUUUCCAAACACCUGCACUUAAGUCCUCGGCUUCCAUUCCAUUAGUCGAUUAAGCCAGCUCGUUUGGCAGUUAGGCGGGCAGUGUAUUAGUAGUUGUAGUGGCCAAGAGAGAGCGAUUCUCGGUAGUAGUGUUCUUUUCAAACUAAUGUAUGUAUAAAGUAUUCCCAAGAAACUAAGUGCAGAGGAACGCGAGGUAGUGAAGAAGGCGAAGGUAGACCCCCUUUAGACCUUGAUGCCUGCGUCUCUUACUUAGUUUCUUAAACCUUAGUAAUUCAACAUGGGACUAGGCUUGCUGGCGACAAGAGUUGGAUGAGCGGCCGGAUUAAACCCUUGGUAGUAGUGUGCUUGUGGGGGGCACGUAGAGGAUAGAUUGUAGUUGGGCGGGAUAGUAGCUCUCGAGUAGUACCUCUAGAUUGGAUCUUCUCUUGAAUGUGUUUGGGAUUAGAGACCCUAGUCCUCGACCUCUUAGGGCAUAAGGCUUGUCUUCGCAUCUGCACGAUAACUUUUCGGAAGAAGGGGUACUUGCUUAGGAGGCAUUAACGGGUCUGAUUUUCAGCACCUUACGUGCUACGGGUGAUAGCCUUUUCUUGUGUAGAUGCCAAACCUCUGAAAAUAUCAGGAAUAGCCAGCCCGCCUACGAAGGACAGACAGGACACAGGAGUUGGACCUGUAAGAGCAGCACACAUUUGCCCUUAGACCUUAGCUAUACAGCUGUCCUUCGACUCUAUUGUAUGGAAGCUGGGUUCACCGAACCUAGACCCGAAAUCACUUACAUAAAUGAAUCUAAUCUCUUACUUAUGGCUUGGCUCGAGCAAGUACCCUUCUUUUCUAGUCUGCAGAAUAGAAACCAUAUGGAUUCGAUUCUGUGUAUUAGUGAUAGUCGAUUUUGAUCUAUCUUUCGUGAAAGGGGAAACGCAGUGGUAAAGAAGCAUAUCCGCUGUGAACAAGAUGACUUUUAUUUGCUCUUUGUUCCUACCACUAGGUAGUGCCGUUCUUCUCUACUGCUCGAGACCCAUAGUUGGAAACAUCUAUUCAUGGAGAUCAUUAUAGGAAAAUCCCCAAUUGGAAAAAUUUAUAUAGGUAGAGCCAUUCAUCCAUCCCCAAAAGAAAGCACUUGAGGGAAGUGGAUUUAGUCUUUCGAUCGCUACUCCAUGGUAAUCAGUCCUCUCUUCGAAGACUAAAACUUUUGAUAGUGAUAGAUAGAAAGGCUGGGCUGAAUCCCUUUUGGGAUUGGAACCGUGAGCCCGGGCGGUAAAGCUAAAUCGAUCCUCAUACGGAUCAAUUCAAGAAAGGUGACAGCCCUUCAUCCCAGGUGAAAAAGCGGCUUCUCUAUCUUCAACUAGUAGAGUGGCUAGCGAACAGGUGCUCUCUCUUUUGCUAGGAGAGUGGAUAGCGAGACCUGGUUAGCGAGCUUGUUAUAGCACUCUCAAUAUGGAAGUGAGUCAAUGGCAGCAACUAUAGUGAAAGGGCGAGGUUCAAAUGAGGAAAGAAAGGGGGAGGAAAUAACUCGUAUCGGGAGAAGAGUAGGAGACAGACCGUAUGAGCUUUUGUAGGAGAAAGCAGACCGAGUUUCAGACCUAGGAUAGGAGUCCUAAUUUAUUGACCUUGAAGUUUCGGCAAAGAAGUAAGCACGAACAUGAAUAGGAGCAGGCAAUUGAAUUGUAUCACAAUCGGAAUAUGUUAAAUAGGCAUAAUAGCACGUUUACCAGCUAUUGGAAUAGGCCACCCGUCUUAGCCACCUUAUUUUGAAAGAGCAAGCUAGCAAGUCUUCCGGUGACUAAUCUCCCAUCGCUAAAAAGCCCAACCGGAUCUUCUUUCUCUGGUUUCAAAACCCCAACCGGUAACCAAAACAAGCAAGCCAGCUUCGGUAGUAGCUUCAAAGGAAUUGGUAGUAUGUCUUGAAUAGGAAAGCAUUCAUAAUGUAUGAACUCAACCUAUGUUCAAGAGCUUGAACAAUGAAGUGAAAGGCUUUACUUUAGAAUUCGAUCUGGUUUUCAUCAUUGUCGACAGAAAGAAGGGAGUGUUUUAAUUUCCUUUGUUUGUUGACCGAAUCCCAUCUUUCUCAGUUACAUGCCGAUAUUUGGCUUUUGUUUUGGCUUUCAAUUAGCCUAAAAGUUCAAGAGUAGGCCCGAACUGCUCCCUCUUUCCAUUUAAUCACUGACAAAACCUACCUUUCAAUUCGACUUAGCGAAAGGACUUUAACUUUAGAACAAUCAAUCGAACGGCAGGUAAGGGCUUGUACUCUCUCUUCUGUGGAUACGCUACCCCUUCCGGCUAUUGUAGGGGGGAAGGGAAGUGAGAUCUACCCAUUGAUUUGAUAUUAGAUGAGUGGCCGUACUAUGAUCGUUCGGGAGACCCGGCCCAUUCAAAUCAAAAUAGAACGAGCACCUACGACUAAGGGGAAUGGAAUGUCGACCACAACGUGAGAGAAUCUUCUAAUACGAGAGCGGGUGACUGGUAAAGUCAUUAAACUUAGUCAUUUUGAUCAACAUGGUUGCAAGUGGACUGGGUUUAUGUGUUUAAACUGACUACGACCAAAGUCGUGGCUACUUCAACCAAAAAAAGGGCAACCCCCUAUUCAAACCGAAAUAAGUACCUAACUUACGAAGAAGUAGUUGGAGCUGGGCUCCGAACUAUGAGAGUUUGCUUUUGUUUUCUGUUUCUAAGAGUGGUCUGAUCCCUUAUUUGAUCAGACCGCUCCUGGUGUUAGUCAUUAAUGGUCGGCUUAAUUAGUACCCUUUCGGUAUGUGUUGUGAACACUUUCAUUUUUAGCUUCUCAUCUUCUCUAGAGAAGCUAAACUCGAACGGAUAGAACAGAUGGUCCAACUACAUAACUUUUUCUUUUUCAUUACUUCCAUGGUCGUGCCUCGUGGCACGGCAGCACCCGUACUAUUGAAAUGGUUCGUCAGUAGAGAUGUUCCUACAGGUGCCCCUUCUUUCAAUGGUACUAUAAUUCCUAUUCCUAUCCCUUCAUUCCCUCUUUUGGUCUAUCUACAUUCCAGGAAAUUCAUACGCUCCACGGACGGAGCAAAAAGUGGAGUCUUGGUCAGAGCAAGCCGCCCUAUUCUAUUACCAGACAUAAUUGGGAGAAGCUCAUCCGAAACUAGAGCUAGAAACGCCUUAUUUCGUUUCGUUCCCGUUCUUCAUUUCCUUCUUCUCGAAUCCAAGGGGGACUUCUCAUAUUUAGAAUCUUUCUGCGGUGUGCUCCGUUUACUAUUCUUUCGUACUUUCUUCUCUUUACCACGCGAUAGGUCAGCGAAGCGUGAGCGGGCGCGGAGAAGGAAACGCCAAACACUUCGGCCUAACGGGAAUCAGCAACGACGAAAUGACAAGAUGAGGUGCCCCGGGCACCCCCAUUUAGAAGGAAGGGUCGAAGGUUUUGGGCCUGUAGCUUUCCCCGUCCCCCCUUCAUCGGGCAGUGCUUGUGUGGGGGGUGCGCAACCAGAAAUCGGGCUUGAAGCUCUCACCUUACCAACGAGCCAACAGCUGAUGGCUGUUGGUCACGACUACUACAAAAAAGCUACAAUGAAGAUGAAUAUUUCACAUGGAGGAGUGUGCAUCUGUAUGUUGGGUGUUCUUCUGUCGUGCGACCCGGCAGCGUAUGUGCGACCUGUGGCCCACGCCUCCUAUUUGUUCAGGGUGGGUGGCGUGAACUCUGAUUCGAUCCGGGUAUUAAAUCCCGCCGCUGAGAUGCUCAGUUGACCCCUUAACCUUGAUAGGAAGAUGGCUUAUUCAAGAAUUCGUGCAUAAGGGUAAGGAACUUUGGAUGAACUAAUACGAAUGGAUGUAAGCCUCGCUGCUCGGAAACACCCAGUGCUGACCACACUGAGAGACACGAAAGCGCAGGUAACGCCAGUUGGCGAAGUGGCGUUAAACAUCCCUAGCGGUACGAAAAGAGAGGUCGUGAUGAUAUCAUCUACGUCCGUACCGCUCCUCGUGGAGUAGAUCCCGCAUCCAACCAAGUCUUUGACUAGGGAACGGGAGAAUUCCCACUACCGCUGGCAGGCCAGCCGGGCCGUGAGUGCGGUGGGAAUGGGCUUCCCAAAAAGCCAGCCCGGGCUGGGGUCAGCAUUGAAUGAAAGGGGCGGCCCUAAUGUUGUGUUGGCAAAGCCAACUUCCUGGGUUGCGGGCGGAGAAAAGCGGAUGUGGGGACUCGGGUCGGGGCGCAGCAUAACUAAGAGAGCCAUUCCAUUUAGGGCGAGACAAAAUGGGCGGGCACGGGCGGUCUGGUGUCCGCCCCGACUGGCAGCUGCUGGGUCUCCCCAUCUCUCCUAAACUUCCCCCGGUCUUCGGCCCGAGCUGUAUGAGGCAAAAACUCAUCCCACGUAUGGUUCGGAGGGCGAGCCCCACCCCAGCAGUAAGGGUGCGGCUUAGGUCAACUAACACAAAGAAGAUACAGUUCACUCAACGAUUGCCUUUGGGUUCCGAACUCCAUAUGGGGAAGGACCGUUGUUGUUUGCGAGGUCUCGAUCAUUUACAUGGACCCACUUCUCAUUCCAUUUCUGGGAAUUUGAUGAUCUAUAAACCGUCCCUAACGAACGAUCGGCUCAAGUUUGAGCAUGAUGAAUCACUUCAUGCCGACCUGUUGCCAAUAAACCAUCUGGCCUCAUAUGAGAAUGGAAAACUGGAGCAUUUUCUGCAUCGGUGGAUGAAGAAUCGAGAACAUAAUAAUUUCUGGUUGACCAUGUUCCCAGAAAAAAGAUACUUUCGAGAAACGACGAGCACGACUAAAGUGGCUAUACAUACAAAUCCAUUUACGGAUCUAUAUGCUCCGAUUGGAACUGUAAGUUCCAGAACAGGUGGCUGGUAUACUACCAUAAUGAAACUGCCUUUUCUUUAUUUUAUUCGGAUCGAAUUUAUGUUGGCUUCAUUGGGAGGCUCGCAUAGUUUGUUACGUCAGCUCCCAAAGGAUAAGUUGUGUUGGAAUCGAGAAAGUUCCGUGGAGUUCAUAAUUGCAUAAAUGGAGUCAAAUUAGUGGCUGCGGCGCGUUGAGGCACUUCUUCGACGGUCCUCGUACACCCGGCCUGCCGGCCCGCUCUGAAGAAUUCAUGGGUCGACGGCGAGACGAAUGGGCGGGCACUACUAACCAAGCCAAGCCCAGUUCUCCCCGAUAGGCAGGGGUAGCAUUCCGGUCUUAAGCAAAGCCGUCCUGUCCUAUCCGGCCGUAUGUCCUGUUCAGUCAGUUGCAUAUCGGUAAGCAUGAUUGUAGCAAGACUUUGUAGACGAAGGAGCUAUUUUCAACAAAUCCAUAUAUAGUAUGGGUGCCUGGUGAAUCCACACGAAUCAGCCUCAGAAUGCCCUUCGUGCCUAAAAGGUUAGUUCAAGGGCUUUGAUAGGGAAAUUCACACAUUUGUUGUCGUUUUAGAUGCGAUCAAAAAGCUUUUUUUCAAGCGUAGAGAAUAUGAGGAAGAUGCGAAUAGAGAUGCGAAAGUUCCUGUUGGAGUUGGAAGUGCAGGAGCAGUGAACAUGACUCUUGCAGAAGGCAAAAAUGCGGUAAAGAGGAGUUCCAGGCGUAGGAGUUCAUUCCACUAUAAGAAAUAGCAGUAGCACGCGCUUCCCUAGUAGCAGGAAAGGAGGAUAGAAUAAGUGCGCUACCUUCUCCCCAAGGCCUCCUUCUCAUAGUCAACCAAAGCUGCCAGAAAGGGUUACUGCACCUCUGACUAAGGUCCAGGUGUCAAAUGUCGAAAACCUAAAGACAUUUGUUGUUAAGCUAAGAAAUAAGGUAAAAGGGGGAUUAUUUAUUACAAAAGCUCCCCCCUUUCACAUGAUGACAUUAACAUUGAAGAGGAACAUGUCACUUCCAGCCAGACAAGCUACAAUGGGUUUUUGCGACCCAAGGAUAAAGCAAAUCAUGGAACGGGAAGGAAGUAAGGCAUUGGAAUUAGGAAAUAGCAUUUAUCCCAAGAUAGCGGUAGCAAGUCUUCUGUGGAGGCUAGGAGUAGAAAUAGGAGAAGGAAAGGCAAGAAGAGCCCUUUCUAUUGUAGUGGAAACCAUGCCUUUCCCACUUUAUUCGAAAGCGCCCCUGUCCUUUCUUCCUUCCUGCUUUCUUACGACAACUACCUAUUGUAUAUAUCAUAACAUCUUGAAAGAACAAGGUUCUCUAGAAUCGUCCCUUACUCCAUUUCUUUCUGUUAAAGGAAAGCCCAUGCCUUGACUUGCUUCACGCCGUACUUACUGCUUGCUUACAUGCUUACUUGGAACUGAACUCUCAUGAUUUCUCAUAAAUAAAUAAAAGAGCGAGAUGUGCCUCCAUGAAGGCGUUCUCUUCAGAGAACCCCUCAAGGAAUGGUUGACCUAGGCUAAAAGAAGCGCUGCUUUCUUCUCAGCUCGCUUAGGGCUUGGAAGAUUCUUCGUUAGCGAAUCAAUCGUAUGUAGUAGUUUUUUUUUUCUAUCUAUUCGAGAUUGGCUUGGUGUUCCGUGUACCUUUAAGUCUAAAUUUCAGAGUAAGCGAGCUUCUCGUUAGUGAGCCUUUCGGGGCUUUGGCUUGUCACAUUAGUAUGUAAUCUUUUCUCUUUUGAAGCGCCCUCUCUUUUAAAAGAAAAGGAAAUCCGUUUUCGGCCUAUACUAUAUAUCGAUUGAACCAGGGGCUGGGCUCAUGUUGUGUUGACAGACAUAAGAAGUAGGAUUCAGAAUAGGGGAAGAGCAGCUCUACUUCUACUUCUUCCUUGAGGGUGAGCCCUUAUGGCUUGUUCCAUUGAUAGAUUAGUUCGAGAUCCGGCGGAUUAGCUUUCUUGCCUUAGUUCUGGAAGAGAGAGUCAAGGGUAGCUUGCAAUCCAAAGAGCUAGUAGAGCCUCUUGACUUUGAGUUAGAGCUGCUUUAGUGGAACAGAACGUCAAGGCUUCUUCUUAUUGCUUUCCUUGAAGGACUUUCUCCCAUCUCUGAAUCGGUUACCCCCAGACGAGCCCACUUGAUUGAAAAAUGAGCUAAACCCUGAUGCCUCUGGCCCGCGUUGGAGAUGAUGCUUGACUUUCUAUUCGGGCAUUUACUGGUUGAGUAAGUUUUUUAUAUCUUUUAGGCAGGUUUGUUUUGAUCCGGGUAAGAUUCUCGCUUGCGGCUUUUUUUUUAAAAGAGCUAGCGACUCUAACUAAGAUAAUGUUGUCCACGCUCAAGCUAUAAGUCAAGCAGUAAAGCAGCAAAGACCUCUUACUAUGCUCCUCCAACUAUCCCUAUAGUUUCAGUGCUAGUUCUCAGUGAUCCAGUUAUAGAAUACUAGUUUCCUUACAUGGAGUUCCCUUGGUUUAAUUCUUGUAUUAAGUGAUAGUUCUGGGCGUCUUGGUAUUGGAUCCGUUUUUCUCUCGUGCUCUUCUGGGCGGUACAAAGAAAUUCGGAAUGAGCGCCCUAUUAAGUAAAGGUAGACAACAUAGAAAACUCAUCCGCUUGUCAAUUCUUGGUGUAAUACUCACUUCUUUUUCGACAUCUAGUUUUGUUGGGGCGUAACGUUCCUGACUGAGAAAAAAAAGUUCCAUAGGCAUCCUCCAUUAAUAUCGCGUGGACCCCCCUCACUCCCUUCUCACUAUUAUGAGCACGCUGCCUCCGAGACAGUUGUCACACGUGGUCAGAAGCUCCAGGCCUCCUUGGCAUAAGAAUUUGCCAAAUUCUUCGGCCAUACCCUUGGCCCCCGCCAGGACAACCUCUUCCGUAGGGGAGCGUUCGGGUUGUUGGGGCUGCUCGCGCACGGGAGACGCCUCAAUUGUAGGCGGAGCCUGGAGAAUUGGUGGUUCUUGAUUUGAGGGUUUUACCGUUGGCUCCGCUGGUUGUUGUUGAGCCGGCUCAUCCUCCCGCUCUUUUAUGUCUAGAGAUGAAAUGCCUUUCCCCCCUUCAGUACGGCCGUCGCCCUCGGGGGAACCUGUAUUUGCAGGGCUCACAUUAGACGGGCCUGCCUUAUUCGGCCCCGGUUCUACACUCGCAUCCGAGCUUGAUGCACCCCCUCCCCCUUCAUCGGGUUCGACCAUCAAUAGCAGUGUCGUGGCUUCGAUUUUGUUUGAAAGAAUAUAACCUACUACCCAUUGCAGACCCCAUAAACAACCCGCAUCAAAAGAUGAGAGUUGUUGAAGAGCACCGAGCCGACUAAAGAGGAAGCGGAGGCACUUACAGAAAAUGGUUCGCAUGAGGAUCCAAUAGGUAUCAAAAUUUACGUCGAAAAGUCGCAACAACCAAAACGACACAGCGAGCAAGAACAAAACUAUCGAAAUUAUAACAAAAAAAUUAGACAUUCGAAGACUCUUGUUACUCAUAUUAGCACCCUGACUUUCUACAGUUCUCCCGGGUCUUAUCACAAGAACAUUUGUUUUCCUCUUCUUUCGGCUAGGAAACUGGCCGUUUUUUUUUGUGUUGAUGGUCAUGAUGCGUUUACUUCUUUUGGUUAGGUACAAGAAAGACAUAAAAAAAGGACUCACCUUUUCCGUGAGAGAUCCGAUCUCAGUCGUUUUCAACUUUAUCUCCUUCUCAAUCGGUAGGGCUUUUGGAGGAAAUUGGAUCCAGGUUGGUUUCCCAACCCAAUGGAUCGUAACCUUAGGGCGACCCCCCUCAAAGUAAUAUUAUUCGUCAUAUCUUUGCGAGUGAGUUGAGUGCCCAUCCCAUCCGGGCGCGAAAACACUUAUUGCAGCCUUCUCGUCUUGAGUCGAAGCUAGCUCUAUUGAUUCCUCCAGCGAUUACGAGAAUCAUCCGCUUCCCCCCUCUCGAGGGGACUGGAUUCAACAAUUGCACGUAGUGAGUCCUCCUGUAGCGCUUGUGUGCUCCUUGAUGCGUUCGUCAUCCCUCGCGGUUUUUUGCCCUCCGCUCAACUGGUUAGCAUCCAGUUAUAAAAAGCUUCAGGCAAGCCGAUUUCACCCUUCGUCAGGGCCCGAGACACAUUGACCAAGCAACCAUCAGAUCGAAAUCAAGUUUCUGCAAUCACUUACGCUAUUUCUAGACGGUUAUCCGAUUUGUUUUAUUGAUCUAAUGUUUUAGAUUGCACGAGGUAAUAUUUGUAGUAAGUAGUGAUAGAGGUAACUCAGCUCCCAUUGCUCCCGAUAGAGCGGUUAAGGAAGGCUAUAGUCUCCCCGUUGCAGGUUUAAGAGAGAAGCCUUCCCUCCUUUUCAAAUCCAAGGGUGUUUUCCGCCUUCUUUUAGCCGUUUCUGUCCAAUCAAAGACUGACAACAAUCGACGAGCCCCUUACACACACAGGAAAGACUAGGAGAGAGUUGGAAUUGAAAGCUUACAAGGCUUACACCAAUAAAUUCUAUGGCAAUGGUUCUAGACCCGGAGACUCAGUCCCCGAAAAGCCUUCAAUCGAAAAAAGAAAGAAAGACUUUAGGGCUCCUGGUCCUCCACCCCACGAGGAAAGACAAAGCUUUCUCUUUUCAUUCGAGUAAGCUUCACCUCUUCCGAUCGUCUCCUCCCUUUGAUCCUUCGAUCCGGGAUAUGCCAAGUCUUACUCUCAUAUUAGUAGUAGCUGUAGCGACAUCUCCCUUCCUUUGUAGGGGAACGAGUAAUGCCCAGGGAAGAACCCUAAACUCAGUCCUCUCUGUCUACCUCUUUACUAGCUAAGCCACUUACCCCUCGUCUAUUCACUUCUUUAAUGCGAGAAAGGGGGGAUAAGCUUGACCGAGGAGAACAAAGAAAAGGCUAUUCCCUAGGGCAAGACAUCCCAAGGAACAAAGAAAAGAAAGAACUAAAGCUUUUGUACGGAGACUUCGGGAAGGAAAGCUUAAAGAGGUUUAUGCUUAGGCCUUCUCCCCGUUGCCACCUCUAACACUACCACACCAAAGCUGUAAACAUCUGUCUUCUCAAUGGGAAUACCCGAAUAAACAUACUCAGGUGCAAGAUAUCCCAUUGUUCCUGCUGGUAUAGUUGCUUCUCUUGUAUUCGAACUGUGUUCAUAAACUUCUGCCAGACAAAAAGACCAAAUCUUAACGAAGUGGAAGGAAUGGAUCUAUCUCCUACUGCCUCUUCAAGUGGGAGUAGGAGUUCAUGCGUAGAAUAGGUCAUCAAAGAGAGUCCAGUUGCCUCGUGCCUAGGAGAAGGUAUCGUCUGAAGGGGUGCUUUCACUUCCUUCCAUUCUUCCACUUCCAAUCAGGAAAGUGCUUUUGGUCGUUUUAAAAAACAGAAAACGAAAUGUAAGAUCUCACUUUCUUAAGCCUUUCCAUUCGCCGUUGAAGAAAGAAAAGACAACUGUCCGAACCUUGAAAUAGAUUGACUUUCUUACUGCUACGGCUAUGGCUAUAUCAUAAAUGGAUUGAUUCAUGGUAUUUUCUUUUAUCCGGGCGAAGCUCCAUGGAUUGAUUCCCGUAAGAGGCAACAUCACCUUUCAUGUGUUCUCAAUGAGAAAUCAACUAUGGCAAAUAGCCGGCACAUCCCAGGGUUAGGGUCAAGGGUUCAGUCGAGCACCAACUAUCGUUGCCCUCAUCUAGUGAGGAUUUUUAUAGGUAGGUAUCAUCCCUCUUACAGUCCUACCUUCAAGUAGCUUAUUUCUUUUUAAGAAGGGUGGAGAGCUUCUGUCUACCCCUUUCCAUUUUCAAUUCCUUCUUUUCAUUUUAGUUGGAACAAUCCGAAUUCUCAUUGUAAACGCUAUCUAUGUGUGGAUCUCAGGGGUUGCCUUUUAUCCGGAAGUCGAAUGGAGGUUUGUGGGGCUUGCCCCUCCAUCAGUUGAUAAAUAGAGUUCCGUCCNNNNNNNNNNNNNNNNNNNNNNNNNNNNNNNNNNNNNNNNNNNNNNNNNNNNNNNNNNNNNNNNNNNNNNNNNNNNNNNNNNNNNNNNNNNNNNNNNNNNUCUCUUUCCUUUCCGACAUCAAUGACAAAAGCUUACGGCUAAAGUACGAGAGAAGAAGGCAAGUUGAGUGUAAGACUUAGCCUACCUUCAACGAACCCAUCCUCUCUUUAGGCGGGGACAGGAUUCGAACCUGUAGUCUUCAGAUCAUGAGACUGAUGAGUUGACCAUUACUCUACCCCGCUGAAAAGAUUCCCCUUCUCUUGAAAGAAAAGAUCCUGAGACUGAAACUACUUCCUCAGAUACUCUUUUAUGCUCCUGCCUCUCCUUUCCAGUCGAGCUAUUGAAUUCCUCAGUAAUCUAAUCCAUUCCCUCCUUCACUGCAGCUUCAGGUCGACAAAAGCAAAAGGAGGAAGGCAGUAACUCCAGGACUUCACUCGACAAAAGAAAAGUCUGAGAUGGCUACGGCUUUCGGACUAGGCAAGGAGAAGAGAAUGGAAGAGCUUGCUACUUUAUGUAAGCUAUCGCUAUCGCUUUCACUAGCUCUUUUUAAAAAACAGAAAACGAAAUGUAAGCUCUCUGCUCUAUUUACUUGCAAUGCUAUGCCUAUCAAAGUUGGCGAACGCUUCUGUAACCUUAGACUCGUUAUGCUGUUCGACUAAACUCAUUGGCUCCGCGUCCAUCGAAAGUCGGUAACCUCCUUCACUUCAUGCCUUUGAUAGAACGGAGAUGGGAAUUAGGCUGCUGGUAGUACAACUAGGCUCUUUGCAGGAUUCUCCGCAUCUACGGGGAGAAUGCCCCAAAGCCCCUUUUCUCCAAUUGCAAUUCCAGAGGGAUAUCCUUUUAUACGCUCUCCUGGCAUUAGCGGAAUAAGAGCAGUGGGACUUGAGCUAGUGGGAAAGAUUCACUAUUUGAAUGUCCCUCUUCGAUUUCGAUGAGCAGAGGAUUUUCGGACAUUAGCUAGUAGCCGCUUUCCUGGGACUUGCACUUGCUUCUUUUAGAGAAGGCUUGGCUCUAUUUAUGCUAUUUCCAUCCACUUGACUGUUCUUCGCGAGUCUCUUUCGUCUCUUCCUGGGAAUCCAAUAGUUACGCUGGAAGAAGGACUCACAGUUAUAACCGAGAAAGUGCUUAUGUCAACACUAGCAAGUGACUCACCAACUCGGAAGUAAGAAAGAGGAAAGAAAGGGGUAUGACAACCAAUCUACCCGCCUAUUAGCUAUUCUAGCCAAGGCCAAUUUCAUGUGUUAAGCAUAUAGACAUCAGAAAGUUUUUGGAAGAGUGCCCAAGGAUGAAUAGAACUUAGAUUCAAAAGAGCGCGAAGAAAGAGCUUUCGCAAAUGAUUGCAUUUCUGCUAUCCGGAUAGCUAUUCAAAGCAUCGAGAAAAACAAAGAGAAUGUUAACAGUUUCAUAAAAGCAAGGGGAUUCGCUAAGAAGCUAAGCAAAAAUCCUUUACCCUGAAAUCAUAGAUCUAUGAAAUGAGCGUAGUGUUUAACUCUUUCGCACCCCUUCCGAAAGAAAUCCUUGAUUGCCAUCGAGAUUUCCUCUCCAACUACCCCCUUAUUAAAGAAGAAGUUCGAGAAACCGUCAGGCCCCACUUGCCCUAUCACCUUAGAAAGAAGCAUAUUUAAAAUAAAAGAAAAGAAACUAGCCCCAGAUGCUCAAGCUCAAUAUCAUAUUGGUUGUGUUCUACCAACGAGCAGCCAGGAGCCUAAAGAAAGCACUAAGAAAGAGAGAAGUGUUUCGUAUAGGUUCGUAUAUCUACUGUGGCGCUAUAUGAUCUUUAGCUAUAGGUCUUGUGUGCUUGCUAUAGAAAGUAACGAGUCAGACGAGGUGGUAACGGUCAAUGGAUGUUCAUAUUUGAGUAUUUGCUGACUUCAGCGUCACAUCAAGGUGACAGGAUUCGAACCUAUGGCCCUCUGUACCAAAAACAGAUGCGCUGACCAGGCUGCGCUACACCUCGUCUCACCACCCCGGAGCAUAUAGAUCCACCCGAUCGAUGAACACUCAAACCGAACUCGCCCAUCCUUUUGGGCACAGGGACGCGAGAACCAAUCCGAGUAAUCCACCGCUUUUUUAAUCUGCCUCCAGCAAGAUAGGGCGACGCCAAAAAGCCGUAUAGCGCAGGAGCUCUCACAUUUUUUUACUCUUUCACUUUCAUUUUUAAAUCCGGCUCGUUCCCGACCUUUGGACCCUUCGCCUGCUUAGAAGUGGAUUCGAACCACUGACACAAGGAUUUUCAGUCCUUUGCUCUAACCAACUGAGCUACCUGAACCACCUUCCUAAAAACAGAUACAGGUAUAACCGGAAAACUAAAAGUAUUUUGCCAGAAAUAUACAUGCGUAGAAUCGGUUUUAGUUCUUCGCUCCUAAAAGCAGCCCUUCUCUUAUAUACGAGAGCACCCAAUUCAACUUCCAUCCUGCUUCAGGCACUAGUUCGGAUGGAAACCCUGAUCAGGCGGGUAGCCUAGCUAAUAAGAUCUUCAACUCAAAAGAGAAAAUCUUCAGCUCUAAGCAAAAGAAAAAACUUCUUCUUUACUUAUGCAAUUUUUUUUUCUUGAAUUGACACCUAUGUCAAUUCGAACCUGACGGGGUUGUUGUCUUGUCCCUGCGUCCUUUCAGGCAGGAAGCACUGAGUUACUUACGAAAUCUCAAAGAGUCGGACUAUGUUUUCUUCAAGCUCUCCCUUGUUUGGUUGGUAGACGGAGGAGACCUAGUCUUAGAAUUUAUAAUUUUAACUCUCGGUUAAGCAGUUCUUAAUUCUCGUUUGUGAUAGCAGAAGGAGCUAACAUAAGGGUCGCUACCACACAUGCAGUCAUCUCACUUGCUAAGCUUUAAGGAAAGUCUAACUAAUAUAGUUAUAGGGGGGGCUAUCGACUAAUAAGAAUAAGGCAUUCCAAUAGCAAUUGGAGUUAUGGAUUUUCAUAAGCAGUGAAAGGUGCAGGAGCAUCGAUAGUAGCACCAUUAGCAACAGCACCGGUGGUAGAGAUAGCGGCAUAGGCAGCAUCGCUUGUUUAACCGACUGAUCAAGUUGUUUACCUCGACCUCGACACAGAGAUUUAGACACUUGCUCCUAGUCUGAAUACAAGGAGAAGAAAAAAAAAGACCAACCAAGCCUACUCAGAGAGACUAAGUAGACUAAACUAAGUGCACAAGAAAGACUAAGGGAAGAAAGAACUUCCGGAAACAAAACCUUUUCUCGAUAACGCAGGGCCAAGAAGCGACACUUCACCGAGAUUCGAUCAUCACGUCAACUUGCUUUAUUCAACAAAGUGAUCAAGCUUCUUAGCCACCGGGGACCAGCCUCGUGAACGCAUUCGCUAAAGGCACUACAGGCCUUACUAAUUAAUAAAGGGCUUUCUUAAUCCAGAAUCUAACUUCAAAAAUAGAAUAAGCCCUCAUUCUGGUUUAUUAUAAAUAUGAGCGAGAUUAGAUCGAAUUCUCUUUCUAUCCGCUAUGAAUACAUUGAAAUAAGGCUAGCUCCUCAUAUCUUUCCCUCUGGGCUGGGAUAAUUUGGAAAUAAUUCAGCAUCUGCUUCACUGUAUGCUAUCUGGGUCGGUUGGGAUUGGGAUUCUGAGUGCUUUUCUAUUUGAUUUAGCUUCUCAUCUCCCUUUUGCUCUUUCUGGUGAUUGGAUUGGAUAAUUGCUCUAAACUCUCUCUUUGUCGAUGCUCGUGCAGCGGAAGGACUGCUUCCUUUAAAACCUCGCUCCGAACCUUGCCUUGCUAACGAUAACGAGCUUUUGGUAUCCCUUCUUCCGGUUAUUCUGCCUCUCUCUAAGUUCAUUUCUGAUUCAAUCUAUUCGAUUCCAAUUCUCACCCUUGAGUCAUGAGUUGUUGCCCUAUUUCCUUUUUCUUCGCUAGCCUUGGGGCUUAGUUACUUAAUUAAGAGUUAUCCCCCCUAGCCUAUGAAAGCAUUCCCAUAGCUCUUUGCCUACAGCGUCAAUGAGUUAGGAGCUUGAGUGAACACCAGGGAAUUUCUUUAUUCAUAGAGUAAGGGCAAAGGCAAGUCCUCCCAUUACUGGAAGCGGCUCAAAGCAUAGUAUAAAAGAAAAAAGGGCUAUUCUUGCUCUGAUCCCCGUUUAAAUCGAGUUCAUACCAUACCUCGUUUAGACCGUCGGGGAGGAAAACUGUGAAUGAAUCUGAUGCGCAGAUGUUUGAAGGACUAAGCGCAGUUGGAGGAAAGGGUACUCUUAAGGGCCUGCAGUCACUUCAGGGGUUAGCUCUACCGAUGUUGAAGGAAUGGAAUAAGGGCAGCUAUCAAGCUUUACUUUCUUCUCUCUAGCGUGACUGCUUUCUUUGCUAGAUGGGAUUGAUCCCAGACCUAGCCGUUUUUCACCUUUGAUGGUAUGGUUAGCGUAAUCUAAGUAUAAGAUCCCAUAUCCGAAAGGUCGUCUUAGUCUUCCGCUUGAACUAAAGGGAGUGAAAAGUCACCCAGUUCACGGUGAGCCGAGGGUUAGGGGAAGAGGUCAGUCCUUUUGCUCUUUUCAACUCGACUGUGAACCCUAUUCAUGGUUUCAUGUGAAAAUAAGUGGUUUUGGUCUUCUGUGAAAUGACAUGGAUCCCUUUAAGAAGAAGUAAGCUCUAAUCACUCUACCUUGACACCCGAGGGGAGACAACUCAACUCAAUAGAUAGAGUUAAGUGCCCUAUUGGCUAUGGGUCAGGAACGGUAAUAAGGCUGAGGUUUGACUAGCAGCUUUCACGUGGCGAGAGGGAGAAAGAAAUAGCAAGUACUACUCUUUCUCUUUGAACGAAUCCGAAGUUCGAAGGAGAUAUUUAUUUGAACCUAAAUCCUUGGAUCGCCUGUGUGUCUAUAAAGAGGUUAGGUACUAAGCCACUUCUUUCGCCUUUAGCUUGACAGUAUGAAUGUGAUCUUUGCCUUUAAGCUUUGAGCUUGGCGCCUUGGCAGUAUAAUCUAUAGAACCGGGUAGGCCAGGCCAAUUCGUUAGUGUGGCUCGAUAGCUUUUUCUCUUGUUUCAUCAGUUGCCAUUGGUCUUGUCGUAUUAAAGGCACGGCCUUGUGUGAAGGAAGAAGACGGCGCUAUCGAAUCCGUUCUUCGCGAAUCCGCAUUAGCGCAAAUCCGAUCUUUUCGGGGUUGAAGGAGUAAGCGCGGCUAUGAAAUCCGCAUCUGGCUUGACUGCUGGAAAGCUUGACUUGGCUUGCUCGAUAGUACUAAACCGGCAGGGAUAGGAGCUUUUGUACGAGACUCAAAAGGUUCCGAUUGAAGGGAAUAGCAUAUUCCAAAACCAUAUAAUGAGAAAGGGCAUACCUAUCUCCUUACUUAUUCGUCUUUCACUUCUUCCUGUGAGUAAGAUCCUAUGAGAUACCUCCUUCUCCCGGUUUCACUCCCUUGAACAGGAACUAGAGAACAGAACUCAGAACUCUGGAACUACUAACAAGAGGAAGCACUAUAAUAAGACUAAUUCAACAGCUACAGGAACCCUAGAAAGAACUCUAUAGCACUGUAAGUCAACACAAGAGUAGCUCGUCCCCAGGAAAUGAAGGUAGAGCUAUUUCAUUGCCUCGCUACUUUUUAUACAACCUCGCCCUUCAAAGCUAUCGGGAAUUCAUUCUAGCAAUUAACAUUGCCUUGAACCGAAAUCCGAGACUCUUGAAUCAGCUGCUUUCUCAUCUGCUCUUUCAUUCCCAGGUUUAACUCUCUUUCACCUUCACUCAUAAUCCAACUCUGAACUUCUCUUCAAAGCUUGCUUGUUCCCAGGGAAUGAAGGAAGAGGCAAUGAAAUUUAUUCUCAUUAGCUGGUAUUAGCUACGCUACACUAUUUGUUACACAACCUCUUCUCAGCUGGAAGUAUAUCUGAGUGAGUUAUUUCAUAAUCUCUACUAAAUAGACAAUAACUCUAGCAAGAAAAAUAAGAAAUAUUAUUUAGCUACAACCGGAGGAGUGGGCAGGAAGAUGGGCAGAAACAGGACUGUCUGUGGGAGUUGCGGAGCGAAGCCCUUCCUCGGCAGGCUUCCAGGCUCUACCAGUUUUAUCUACCUUUAAGCUACAUUAACUAUAGCAAGAAGAACGUCAGGAACUGGAACGAAAAGCUGCUGGAACGAGAGCUCUUUUGUCUCUGAUUCCUUUCAGCCGAACUACCUUUCGAAUGGCGGAACCACGACUGGCAUGGAAGGGAAGCUUCAUGACCACGGUAAUUCUCUAAAGAAAGAGGGACCUUUUCAGGUCUCGGUUUCUGUGCGGCAUGAGCGCACUGAUCAGUUGGUGGGACAGUAGACGGUCUUUGAAAUAACCAUUGUUUGCUAUUCCACGAAAUUCAUUUCUUGGAUAACUUUAACAAAAGAGUUAAGCUACGAUAGACCCAAUUCACCUCAGUCAAGAUGAAGGGGGGAUGAGAUCUUUUAGCGGGUUAGUGGGGUCCUUGGCUAAGAUGGAAUCUUCACCUUUUCUUUCAAGUUCUCAAAGCCGGGAAAUAGGGAACUGGAUCACUUAUAGUGUUUGAAGUGAUGAAAUCCAGUGCGAUAGAUGGCAUUUCUAGUGAACCCAGGAAAGCCAAGACUAGCUCAUUCACCAUAAUUUUGUUGGAGCAGCGGUAGGGCAAACCCAGUCUCAGUCCCGCCUAUGGUCUACUCAAAGGUUGAAGAGAAAGAGAAUGGGUCAGAUGGCUGAUAUCCGACCCGACUAUAUCCGUCCCGUAAAGAUAGAGAAGAAAGGUGAAUAAAGAGUUCUCGUCCAGUCAAGUUUGAAUAAAGAAUCUAAAUAGAAGGAACCGGGGUGAACUAAAGAGCGUAAUCUAGGUUACAAGGUAUAGGUAUAAAUAAGCUUCGUAGGAAAGUCAAGGUUCGACGGCGGAGUUGAUGACUACUAAGCAAGCUUUCCUCUUUCUUCUAGGGUUGUUCUCCAGACCAGGAGGCUGAACCCCAUCUCUGUAGGCAGCGAUGAGCCAGCAAGUAUAAGAAAAAGCGGAGACAUAUGUUGUUAUUUUAGCAAAUUGCAAUUAUGAAACCAUAGCUCAGAAGAAGAGGAUUUCCGCCCUUUCAAGCAAGGUAGGUAAAUAUGGAUGAUAUACUACAGAAUUUGGAUCAGAUCAGGCUCCGAAAGAGAAUAUGAAUAUCCAGAAGUGAGAAAUGGUGAUCUUCCAUAUCUACUCGAAAAAAUGACUAUUAAAUGGUGAGAUCAUUAGCGAGAUCUUCAAGAAGAGUUCGAGGGGGGUCGAAACAAGAAAACAGUAGCAGAAGGGGGCUGCGUCAGGCGAGGGCAUCGAAGUUCAGUCUCAAAGGCCAGCGUUUUAGCUUGUUCCUUGUUAUAGCAAAUAGUAGCGCCAAGGUGAAGCUCCUGGAUCCGUAGCUCGGUAAAGGAAUGAAAGAAAGAACUUAGCCUUGGUAGAUCAACUCAAGGUACUGACAAAGCUAGUAACAACGUGGAUUUAAAUGAACAAGAAGAACAAGGUUGGGCUAGUCAGAAUCGGUGAAUGUAUCUGUUGUAUACUUUUUCCAUCCAAUAAUAAAAAAGGGCACCCAAACCACAUGUUUCAAGGGCUAGUCUUCAAUGGUUAAGUUGAACACUCGCUUCUCGCUUCAAAAUUUGAAUAAGGAAGCUAUGAUCCGUAGCUCGGUUCAACCUUUGUGAAAGCUUCUCCUCAAUAUGUUUGAUCCCUUUUCAAGCCUUCCUCUUCCUCAACCUCUUUAGAUGUGCGAGCUUAUUAAAAAGCGAACUCCGACUUAUGAUGAGCUCCAUUCCACCUGCCUCUUAUCUAACAACAUAUAUGAGGUCGCCUUCCCAAUGAAUGGCAUUUACUCCCUGAAGUCUUUCUUCAUUUAUGUCAAUACCAGGUGUCGCGUCAUCUAUUGUGUACAAUGAGGGCUACAAUCGACUGGACUGAUUUCAUUCAUUGAUUCCUUCCAGCAGGGGAUUCUAUUUAAAGACUGGUAGAACGAAUUACCUACAUGCACCUUCUUCUUCUUGAGCGCUUGCUGGCUUAUAGAGGGCAAGGAAGGCAUUUGAAUACUGACUUGCGCCAACCCUGUGAAAGAGGUCGCCCUAUCAUUUCUGAGGGUAAAAUCCCCAGUCUUCCUACCCUACCUUGGUUAUCCGCUUUCAUGCUACCACUGAGCGGACUUUCCUAUAAAGAAUAAGAUAGAGUUGGCCCUAUCGGAUUGGUCUUCACCGAGUCCUAUAGUUUUCAUUCGUCCUGCAAAACGCAUCUUAGUAGCGGCUGGGAAGCCUUCGAUACCGAAAAUUGCUUGGAGCAUAUUUCAUCUAUGAACAGGUUCAUUACUAGUAUGGGGCACUGCCAAGGGCAUCUCCUUGAAGGAAAAGAAAAAGCGAAGCGUAUCCCCCCGGGGACGGGUUUGAAGCGAUCGAAAGAACAUAGGAAACGAAAGAUUCUGUAGUGUGGUCACAAAGAGCUUAUUUUUUCUCUGUUCUCGGGGCAUGCUCUUAAAGAUAGGUGUCAGGCUAGCUUUCAUAAGCCAAUGUCUGGAGAUUAAUCUAUACAAAUUCUCACACGUAUUGGCACCCCAUUUCAUUGGUCUUGUUCUUGCACCAGGAGCCCUUGAAACUCUAUUAAAAACAAGUUUUUGACUAGUCUUUUGAACCACUAGUUAUUACAGAAUCUUGCUUAAACAUGAAUAUUGGCCCAGUAAGUAAGGUGACAUUUGCGUCGAUCACAGAUGAUCUCACUCAAUCUUAUCAAUUCACCAAUUUCCUCAUUUCUUGCAUCUCUGACGAAAGACCUAGAAAGACAACUUCUAAAUGCAGCAUUUCUUUCCACCAGAAACCAACCAUAGGUCAACCGAACCCAAGGUGCGUAGCGGGAGAAGGCCCUAAGAAAACUACUUAAAAAACAGGAACAAAGAGCCUUGCGAUAUUAAUCGCAGGUGUGCUUUUGGUCUUAACCCUGAAUGAAUCGGUUGUUCCACUACCAAUGCCUGUAGUCCCGUAGUUGUCUAAGUUCAGAUAGAAUAAUCACUCGACUACUAGGGAAAGUGAUUACAUACCUUGGCAGAAUAGUCAUUUCAUCCCAAGAACUAGAUCAAUGGCACGGAACCCUAGGUAAGCAAAAAUGCCAGGAGAAGGACUACUUGCCUAAGCUCUCUCACUUGCUCUAUCCAAAGCGUCUAUCUCUAGCGAAAACUGUUAACUCUUUCAUUUCUAUGACCAACCGAGAGUCCCUGUGCUAUGGCUCCGGAAUAAGGUUUUUUUCUUGUUCUGUUUUAGCCUUGUUGAGAUUUAAAGUACUUAUUGCAACUGUAACCACAGUUACAGAAAUAAGAAACUUCUCUUUGACUGAAGCACUUGAACUUCACUUUCCAACUUGUUGGGAGUAGGGGCUUUCACUGGAACUGAAACUCUAUCUUCUUUUUAACUCGGCUUCCUUAACUUAAAGACUUUGAGGGUUUGUAGGGCUUUCCACUCGCACUACCCGAAAGGAAUUAGAAGUAACCUUUUCUCUAAGCUAAGCUGCAAAGAAACUGGAACAAAGAAAGAACAAGGAUUUCAUCCGGAAGCAAAAGUGCUUUUUUUACGAAUUCUAGGCGAUUGUAGAGGGAUGGAUUAAGAAUUCCUUUGAACGCAAUGAGAAGAUCUAGGGUAGAAAGUAGCUCCCCAGUAGCUCAAAGAAAAUCUCGUCCCGACCUGGGGUUGGCUCGAGAAGGAGAGUCUCGCCGGUUGUUAACAAAGCGGCAUGCAAGGAAGCAAAGACGAACCGGCUUGGGGGGAAUAAAUAAUAUGAAUUGGAGGGUGAGUCCUUAACACCAAACUACCUUCUCUUCUAAUCCUGCUACGAAAUAUGGAUUUUAGGCUCAAUUCCAAGGUAAGGUUUUGAGCCAAUCAAGUAAGCGAGUACCAGUAUCCAUCCCUGCUGUCGCAGGUGAUGAAGUAGUGGGAGUAAGAAAGGGUUAGUGAAUGAAAUUUCCUUCAAACCUGUCAGUGUUAAAUCAAGCUUCAGAGUCAACAGAGUCAAACGCUGAAACAAAUUCUCUUUCAUACAAAUCUUAUCUUAUGCUUGCUCGAGGGGAUAGUAAAUAGAAAAGCAAGGACGGGACUAGUUUUCAAGCGGAAUUCGAACAUUAGUCUUUCUCACCUUUCUGCUACCUCAGAAGAGGAAAUUCCAUGUUCAAAAUCAAGAUGCAGCAGUCCAAUCGAUCUUUUGGGCUCGACUCGAGAGGAUCAAACGGAAGACAGCGCCAUGUUAAUGCGAUCGCAAGACAAAACAAAGAAGUUGCGAUCACAACAUGAACAAAAAGAGGGUCUUUCAUCACAUUUUGCCGGUAAAUUAGACUAGUCAAAUGAAAGUGGAGAUUGAACGCUAGAAGGCGCAGAUAGGAACUGCGAGCACGGAUUAUAAUCAGAAGGCGAGCGAACUGUGUUCACUUCAGGUUUUGUAGUGGGAAAUGCUCCAAGGAAAGAGAUUUGAAGGCGUAGCGCAGUCUGUAAUGAGAGCGGGAUGGGGACGGAAAUAAAGGGUUACCCCUCUCCUGUAGUAGCGAACCAGUCAAUUUAGAAUUUAAGAAACCGUAGGCCCAACGACAAGUCCUCAGCAAACAUAAAGACGUGAACGACCAAUGGUAAGAGCGAGUGAACUAGUCAAGAACUCAAAUCCAUAAUGCGCGAAAGGCAUUGAUAAUCCAAUUCUUAAGUGCGACCCGGAUCAUCUCGGGCAAUGUUAUAAUAAUAUAUGGUUCUCAUUUUUGAACAAAAAAUACCUUCUAAAGAGCUCACUUCAGCAAGAUUCCAAGCUAAAGGAAGGAAGGAAAGAAGAGAUGCAGUCGUAACGCCAAGAAAUGGUAUUAAUGUCCGGUUGGUCGAGAACAAAUGACAUAAAAAAUCAUAGAGACGAGAUGUUUUAUUUGAAAAAUCGGGAAAAAGAUAGGAGAAGAUUCUCAAGAGCAGGGAAUUCGAUAGCAAGAGCAAAGAGAAGAGCCUAGUCGAUAACAAGCUAUUCGCACCUAAGUCCCACAGGCUUCAUAUGCAAGAGUUAGGAUGGAGCUUUCACUAAUAUAAGGGGGUCACUUUGAUUGAAAAGUUUCUGAUUCAAUUGUAGUGCAUUCUCGAACAGUAAGAGCUGAAUCGGAAUAUCCCUCUUCUCUUUCCUUUUGUACCCUUGGGAAGUCGGCAUAAGGACAGUGAGGAUCCCUCGAGAAUAAAGAAAUCUGCUUUGAGGCUAGGCACCUAAGAGCGGAUUCUUUAAAACCGUCAAUAUGAUAAGAUAAAAGAAACACUAUCUCCUCUCCUCGUCGUUAGAGCUAUCCGGCACGUUCUAAGCGUAAGGAAGUCCUACUCUACUAUUACUGUCUAUGCGGAGGGUGAUAUAGACUCAUUUCCUUCUUUCCAUUUGGUUAGCGGUCAAUAGUAACUAGAGCCCACGGCAGGUGCCGCAGACCGUAGAGAGAGUUUUAGUUCAGUUCGCACCGUCAAGCGCUAGUGAAAGUCAGUUUCGGUUAGUGGGACAGCUGGAAGUCGAGGGUGACUUUCAAGCAAUAAAUAGGCACAGUUGGAAAGCGAUGCGCUCAAGCCUUUAUGGAUAAAUAGGUAGUAAAGAAAGUCUUCUUUGCGGUGAGCGGUACGUCUAAGUUCCGGGAGUCGCAGAUCCAUUUUUAUUCCAGUAGUGGAAGGCGAGAUGUAGGACUAUCGAAAGUGAAGAAAAUACAAUCCAAUUUUCAUUAUUAAAGCGAUAUCCUAAAAGUACUUUCAAGGAAGGAAGCCCUUUAAUGAAAACCGGACCAAAAGAGACGUAGGCCGAGACUAGAGUCCGAUCCGAACCUUCACUUUCACCUGAAACCUCGAUGUUUAGUGAAGAACAACUAACAUGUGAAUGCGAGUUUGAAGGUUUCUUUUGCUUGCGAUCAAUCUAGUGAGCUCUUUCAAGCCCAUAGUAGGGCUUUAGGUUCAGACUGAAAUCUUUUUCUUUUCGGGCGUUAGUUGAGGGAGGAAGAGCGAAGCGAACAAAAGAGGAGGAGGGCGCUAGGCUAAACAGGGUGUCAAUUACCAAAAACGACUUGACCACUAACUAAGUCCCGCGGGUAACACAAGGCCGAAGAUGGAUGCGAAGAAUAUUUGAAACCACUCCCAUCCCAUCCAUAGAGAAUAUGCCCUACUAUCGAGGGACAAAAUAACUAUUAGCUUCCGCCUUCUCCAGGGCUUGAAAUUCCUGGCCCGUCAUGGAAAGAAACUAAACCAGGCUCGCUAGAUCAAGGGAAGGGCUCGCGUAGAUAAAUUACCUGAACCAUGUUUUUCCCAAGUUGAGGUCUAAUACCCUUUCGUUUCGGAAGCAAAACCCAGAGCAAAGAAUGAUGGAGGGGACACGGACAGCAGUUAGAACAGACAGAUAAGAGCACAUAGCAUCACUUACAUCAGAAGUGGGAUCACUCACUUCAAACCUUACUACGCCAGCAAGAAAUUAGCAACUAGUAAACUGACCCUACUGGGGACCUCCCCGGGGAAUCCUUAGCCAGCCCUCUAUAUAGUUAGCUCCUUUCUUUAGCUUCUUAGGAGUGUCAUGUAUAGGGUAAGAAUUCAUCACUAGACUAUAAGAGGCACAAACUAAGACCUUCACCUUCUCUUCUACGGAUCUUGCGAAUGCAUAAUAGAACUUCACAUUUUCACUACUACUGCUAAAAAUGAAUCCUUUUUCCGUGCCUGGGUUUAUAACUCCAUCUUUUUAAAAAUGCUUGGGAUAGCUAAUAAAAACUAAUACGGCUCCCUUAUCUUUGAGACUACCCUUAGGACUCUAUUAAUUCAUUUAACAGCGGAUAGACACAAGUUAUGACAACCCUCACACGAGAGCAAAAAAAAAGUGAAAGGGAGCACAGCUUCGAUUCAUUUAUGUGAUUAUUGAAUCCCAACUUAACGAACAAAGGGAGGAAGUCUAUCUUGUUGGUACGGUACCAUUGACUAAACUAAACAUCGAAAGAAUAUAGAUUUCAAACAGCAAAUCAAUGCAAUAAAGUGAGUUCAAGAUUGAUAAUAGAGUGAAUAGAAAGAGAAAAAACACAUGGUUACGCUUUUGAAGCUAGCUAGCUUAAGUUAAGCCGUUGCGCGCAAGGGCGCUAAGAGCAUCACUGCAUUCAUUAAGACAGAUUGAAAGUCUGUAGUUGACAAGAAAAAUAGGCAAUGAAAGGUAUUCAAGUUACGUUGUCAGUCUACGAUAUCGAAGCUUCGGCUUAGUCACAAUCUACCUUCCCUCUUAUUUCAGAGGGAAUGUUAGGAGUUCCCCUUAUGUGAGGAGUGAGUCACGAGUGAGGAGAGCUCUAUCAAAGGUAUAAGAGUGGACUUCUAACUAGUAGCUAGUCUGAGGUAAAUGACUGAAUGAUUGGUAAUUGAGUUCAGGACUGGUAAUUGAAUCAUAGACUAAGCAUUGUGAAGAGCUCAACUUAUUAUAAUGAAUGCAAUGAUUCUGGGCAAUUUCUGAACUCUAAUGAGUAACGGAGAAUCACCCAUUAAAGCUGUGGAAGUAGGGAUUUAAGCAUUCAUUAAAGCAAAGUAAACGAUACACGUUGAUUGCGCGGAUAAGCUUUCUUUCCUUCUAACGAAGGAAAGCCGUUAAUCAAGAGGUUAGUUACCAGUUCUUCGUUCAUAGGUACUCCCUUGCUCCACCUUUUUGGCCUAGUAACUCUCUCACCUUAUAGCUAGGAGUGUUCAAUAAGAGUUGUGAGUUACUCUAAAAAGAGAACAAGCUGUCAAGAGUGAAGUCAACAGAGUCGGUAUCAACACCUAAAGUCGGCAAUCACUCUCUGUCCAAAGUUAGGAGUUCCGUUACUAGUCAUCGACUCUUUGAGUCGGGAAGGACAGUGUAACCAUCCCUCGUUAAGAGGGAAACUGCUUCUAAUGCUAUUUAACUGGGCAAUUUCAUUACUUUAAUUCAGCGGGAAAAUCUCUCUUAAAGCCAAGCUAAGCAACCGAACCUGGCUCCAUCAAAUCGUUGAAACGAAAGCUCUUUAAAUAAAAGGAAGGAAGCUUGAUAGGACACAAAGUGAUUAAUAGGGUGAGAAGUCAAAUAUCUCUUUUCUUUCCUCAAGGCAAUAGGUAAAUCCAGAUCAGAAACAACAGAAGGAGGAAUAGAGGACUCGGGAAGCCCAUAUUCAUAUUUGAAAGGGAGGUUUUUCUCCCAGGCCUGUCUUGAAUGCAGGGUCAGUUAAGCAGCCUGCCUUAUGAAAGUAAGAGUGCGGGGAAGGUAUUCCCCUUCAUCUCUCUAUUCUCGAAACCUAGGUCUAGUAGCUUGUUAAUAACAUCUAUAGGGGAAGCAUCCUGCCUUUAAGAGCUCGAGGGCAACUUAAGGUAUGACCCUUUGGGACAUCCACAAAGGAACUCCCUAGGGUAGGCAACCGAUCGUAGAGACAUUAUCUCCUACGAAGCUAGCUACUCGCAUCCAAGAGAGAGCUACCAUCUAAUACAUUCCGUGCUGCCCUUAUCCACUCUAACCUGAGAUUGAUCGAUAGAAGGGGUUAUAAUCUAUCCUUAGCUCUUCGUCUAGCUGCAAUAAAAAGAAAGGUUGCUUGCUCCAGAAGCAACCCUAGCUACAUCCUAAUGCUCCAAUCAAAUCUAUUCUUAUCUUUCUUGAUCUACGACCAACCUUGUCUCCCAAGCCUGAUUGUUCAGGUUCAGUGGAAGAACACGAAUUCUUUUAUGGGCAUACUAAACAAAAGGAAGAUGCGGAAAGCGGUUGAUGAAUCUUCAAUCAAAGGAAUAAAAAUAGAAAUUUUACAACACGCUGGUGAGAAGACCCGCAACCGGUACCCCAGCCUCCGAUGAUGGCCAAUCUCUUUCAUCCUCGUCCAAAAUGGACAAUUCCAAAAAGGAGGAAACUCAUCGCAAAAGAGAUUGAUCUUUCAGCACAGGUUCAAGUUUAGAUAAGAGACGAGAGCUAGAAAGUUUAUUUACAAAAAGAGUCAAAUCGAAAUAUAGAAGCAUUCCAACUUUACCCCACCUGACUGCCUCCCCGUCAAACUCUUGUAUCUCGUAGCUGAGGGUAUCUAAACUCUCGUUUAAAUGCUUUAGAGGAGAGGCCCCCCAACUUAUUGAACUGCAAGGUGCGACAACCCAUAAUUAGUCUGUGCACGUGGGCCAACAAGAAAUGGGAACAAUCUGGCUGGAAGCAGAUUCCAUGGGUGAGUUGAUUCUUCCUUGGCUUACGAAAGCAGGCAUUUUUGGAAUCAAGCAAAUUUCGAGCAGGGGUCGGAGUGAAGCUCAUGGGGUGACCUCACUCAAUGAAUCAACAAUCUAAGUUAUGUUUCGUGUCAUGAAUGUGUGAAUCAGAAUCUGAUCAUCUGAAAUGCAGUGGACUCCCUUAUUGGACAGAGGGGCGCAUCUUGCUCCCAUCCCAAGCUGCAGGGGAAGAAUAGUAUUUUGUUCCUACACUCGUUUUCAGCCCUGAGAGCGACGUUGGUUAUAACGACGGGGGAUUCGAGGUUUCACGCGCGAUCUUCUUCUAAAUAGAAAUAGCCCUAGAAUAGACAUUGAGGCUAGCUCAGCAGCAGCAUCCUCUUUAGGGAAAUCUGGAAGAGUUUCAUACUAAGCCAGGCUAGCAAGAUGGGGUUCAAUGAAAGCUGCUGGUGAGGCUGUUGUUCAAGCUGCAUAGCUUACUAAUAGGAAUGUAGGAUGGGGGAGCUACCUCCCUUAGAGAACUAGGAGGGCACUUAAGCUAUUCCUAUAUAGGGAACAAAUCUACUCUGGCCGGACUCUAUCCCUGGGAAUGGAGGGAAGUUUAAGCAUUAUUCCUUAUUCAACUACCAGUUAGAGAAGUAAGGGUAUUUCUCCGACAUAUGUGAUUUGUCAAUUUGGUUGAGUGCCAACGCUUUUCUCCUUAGCUUGUGAAUGGCUCGAUCAGGCACAUGACGUUGCUUUGUAUCGUAAAUUGAUACAGUCAUCAGUCUUAGGUGGACAAUUGGCCGAGUCUGAGAUACUUACACUACAUACUAGUAGAUAGCUUGCAGAGUGGGAUAAAGGCAAUCCCAAUGAAGAGAAUUCCGUGUGACUCCCAAUCCUGUCUUGUUCACGUUCUCGCUCCUUCUCAUUCCAAUUAAUGCCAGUCAAACCAUGUGCAAGGAAGGUUGAGCUCUUUUUCUUUCCCACUAGCGGAUGAGAAUAAGGAUUCCAUNNNNNNNNNNNNNNNNNNNNNNNNNNNNNNNNNNNNNNNNNNNNNNNNNNNNNNNNNNNNNNNNNNNNNNNNNNNNNNNNNNNNNNNNNNNNNNNNNNNNCACUUUGCGAAGCUUCUUUUAGAUAAAAAAGAAGCGGGAUUGUGGAGCUGUGAAGCGGCAAAGUAGACUUCUUGUUUAUUCUACUUACAGUGCCUCUCUCGAAAGAGAACAAGUAUAAUAUUCCAGCCCCAGUUCUCAGGAAUUCCAUUUCGAUCUAAACCCGACAACCUUCUUUAUGAACUUAACUUGUAGCGGAGAUAGAAGGUAUAAACCAGAAUCUUUUUUCUUUUUUCCAUUUCAAAUUGUUCUCUGGACUUUUUAUCAAUAUGAGGUGAGCGUAACACAGUAUAUAAGACUCGUGAUUCAGGCAAUCCAAUCUUCCGUGUGUAAGGCGGAAGCCCCCAAAAAGGGUUUUCAAAAAAUGGGUGAUCAAAAGAUCGAAUCACUAUGCGUAUCUUGGUGGUCGUUACUUUUGGUGGUCUUUCUUUUUGGCUGACUCCUCUUCCUGUUCUAUUGAUCAGAACCAUCUAGCAGCGCCACGCUGGUUUUGAAUUGGAUUCUAAGGGCUAAGGCUCCCUUUUACCGAUUGACUUCUCUUUUGAUCAGAUGCCAGACCUUGCUAUCGAGAUAAGUCCCCAGGCCGUCUUUUAAGCGAGCGAUAAAUGGGAAUUGGUUCUUCUCCGCUUUCUCCUCAACCUCUCGCGCCACAAAAUCCAUGGCGCAUUCGAUGUCAUCGCACCUUUCGGUUUUCCCCCGAGCGAUCUCUUGUCCGAACGGAUUUGUCCAUCAGUAAUGGGGCUUUCAUGCUUUAGCACUUGGAUUUCACCUUUCAUAAAUCCCCAUCCAAGUAUUUCCUAAUCAAAUCCUUGAUCGUACUUUUAUUCGAAAGAUAGCCGCCCUUCCGGGCCGUAUAUAUUUGGUUCAACCCCCCUUUCCACCUUUUUAUUUUUAAGAAUUCUCUUGAGAAAAUUCUUAUUAAAUUCCGAGAUGCAUUCUUCUUUUUUCUGAUGAUUCACACCCUCUACAAUAUCUUUUAUUUUAGUGAGGAUCUCAGCCUUCGUAUUUGAGACCGCCGAAGCAUCUCUCUCUGCCUUUUUCCGCUCAAGAAUGGCUUUUAUGCGAUCAGGGUCUUUUUCGUGA
rnacentral:lncRNA from 1 species